AUUUGAUCUCUGUUGGUCGGCUAUUAUUAGAGGCAGGCAAGCCGUUCACAGUUGAACUAGACACAACUUAUUUAAAAAAUGUAGUCUAAUUUCUGUUUGCAGAUUACCCCCAAUGAAGUCAUGUUUUUAUGGGGUUAUUUAUGUUCUGUGUUCCAUGAGCUGUGCGUGCAAACAAACGUAACCAGUAACGGCCUCUUAAGAAAGUCACCCAGAGGGGUCACGUGCAGAGGGAUGGCCCGUCAGAGGGAGCUGCAGUCAUGUUCUAGCCUGGCUCACCGAACUGGCUCUGUGGGGGGUCAUAGGAGCUCACUGGCUGCUACAGGAGAGGAAAAAGAGGAAGAGAUGAGAACCAGAAGAAGAUCAAUGUCAGCUCCAGAUGGUGGUUUUCUGGGCUGGAGGCAAUGGAGACAAGUGGAUGCAGUGACCGAAUUCACAGCGAGCCCACCGAGUGCAGGAGUGUGACCAUGUUCACAGCGAGCGUGACUUGUCCAGCAUUCUUCUGAGUGAUUACACAUGCAGGGGGGAUUUCUGGAAACCAUUCAACCAUCUCAUGCUACUGAAAUCAGGCCUAGCACUGGCUGGACUCAGAUUUUUGGAACCCUAUGUUAGUGAUACUGUGUCCAUAAACCAAGGCAGCAGCAUACCAGGAAUAUAGAUUACCACAUAAUUCACAGGCAAGACCUUCACAUCAGCAGUGGGAGGAAUUGUGUGUCCUUUCUCCUGAACCAGGUAGCAGUAAUAGGAGGGGAGCAGUUACCCUCUGACAACUGAAAAAGAAGGUAGGAUGUGAAACAAACACUUCAGAGCAUUUUAAGGAGAGUUGGGCACAACUUGCCAAGUUGGUGUCAGGAUUUCAAGCAUGGAGGUGUUCAGAUAAGGGUCUUCAGUCCUUGCAACAUAUGGGCCGAGGUAAUACAUUGCGCCAGAACAUGGGUGGCCAGUGAGCAUGGUCCAAAGACAGCUCAGUUUUUAAUCUCUGAUGUAGGCCAAUGUACAUACAGGCUGAUUUCAUGAAGUGCCUUGUGAGUCCCUUACGUGAUCCCCUGCUUCCUGGGGCCCCAGUGAUGCAGGGACAUCUGAACUAGCUUGAUGCACAGCCCAGUGGAAUGCAUUAGCAAGGGCCUCAGAUACACAGAAGUGAGUACAUUGCUUCUGGAGUCGCAUCGACUUUGGAAACAGUGUAGUGUUUUUGAGAGGCUUGGACUGCCGUUGAACUGCUGCAAAGGAUCUGCUCCAGUUUCUGAAUCCGCAGCAUGGAUAAUCCUCAACCUAGAUAAAUAGUCCCUAGCUAACAAAACUAACUGAAUUCGUGAUUACUGUUACUAGCAACCAUUACUACUAUUACAAGCACAGAUGCUACAUGAGCACCUAAAAAUCUAGUCAUAGAACAGAAUUGCAUUGCCCCAUGCACUAUCCAAACACAGAUAAACCCACAACUGCACUGUAAAGGAGCAAAACCUACAGAAGAACAUGGCUGGACAGACACUGGGGCGACAGGAGGAAAUAACGAGACAACACUGGACAUCCUGCAAGGCUGUGGCAGCUAUAUAGUGGGGGCCAGUAAGUUCCAUUUUCUUUUCAAGCAUGGCAAAGGAAAAUUUCAGUGAAGGUUUGCGAUAAAGAUAAUAAGUGAGCUUUGGAAAUAUUUAUGGGGAGUUCCUGCCAAGAUUAAAUGCAGCAGGGGAGAAAGCAUGGGAAGGCAUGUUUGAACACUUACAGGGUAGACAAUUAAGGCAACCAUCAUUGACAUAGCAGAGGUCAAUACGCCUGUACCAAAUAGGUAAGAGUGUUAGGCAACGAAGAGUCCCUGAGGAACUAUAAAACACUGUCCCCUUCUAAGCGAUUCUCUUAUUCUGAUGCGGUUGGAACUAUUUUAACCCUUAGAGUUGGUCCAGUCUUCCUGUUAUCAGUGCCAGCUACUUACUAACUCUCACAUGCUUCCUUAUUACCCUUUGACAUGAUGUUAAGGAGAGCCUGAGAUAACGAAACAGAUCAAAAAAGACGGGUUUGUUUAAACAGGGUUUCAUAGCCAGUAUACUAUUUUCACAGGUAACAAAAUCUGACAGAUAAAAUCUGCAUGUAGAUACCUAGCUGAAGACAAACUGAGCUUUCACCCGCUGUAUUUGAAAUGAAUUAUUAUACAGACAGUAUUACAAAUCAAGGGAGAACACACAGGUAUUCUGGAACUUCAAUGCUGAAGCAAAAUUUUGUCUUUGCUACAGUCAAAUCAUGCAAUGGCUGUGCUGAGGCUGGGUUUUUUUGCAAGUUGUCUAAUGAGUAAAUAGGACAUAGGCAGUUUUCAGCCUUUACUCAGACUGACAUGAGUCAUUUAAAGAGUCCAGUGGCUCCUCUGAAGCGUACUUAAUUGGAAUGCAGACAAAUAAAAUGCUGAUGUGGCUAAUUAAUGAAGAACUU
ensembl:lncRNA